rnacentral:rRNA from 1 species
UACGUAGGGUGCGAGCGUUGUCCGGAAUUACUGGGCGGAAAGAGCUCGUAGGUGGUUUGUCGCGUUGUUCGUGAAAACUCACAGCUUAACUGUGGGCGUGCGGGCGAUACGGGCAGACUGGAGUACUGCAGGGGAGACUGGAAUUCCUGGUGUAGCGGUGGAAUGCGCAGAUAUCAGGAGGAACACCGGUGGCGAAGGCGGGUCUCUGGGCAGUAACUGACGCUGAGGAGCGAAAGCCAGGGGAGCAAACGGG